GCGCAGCAGGCGAGAAUACUCCGCAAUGCCCGAAAGGGUGACGGGGGAUUCCAAGUGCCUACGCUUAGCGUAGGCUGUUCAGGUGCCUAAAAAGCACCUGGAGGAAGGGCUGGGUAAGACGGGUGCCAGCCGCCGCGGUAAUACCCGCAGCCCGAGUGGUAGUCGCUUUUAUUGGGCCUAAAGCGUCCGUAGCCGGUCUGGUAAAUGCCUGGGUAAAUCGUGGGGCUUAACCUCACGAAUUCCGGGUAGACUGCCAGACUUGGGACCGGUUGAGGGAGAGGGUACUCCAGGGGUAGGGGUGAAAUCAGCAAGGUAAGCUGAUGUAACUUGCCUUGCAAGUCACAAUCCUGUAAUCCUUGGAGGACCACCGGUGGCGAAAGCGCUCUCCUAGGACGGGUCCGACGGUGAGGGACGAAAGCCAGGGGAGCAAACCGGAUUAGAUACCCCCGUAGUCCCUGGGACUGCCAAGGCACACA
rnacentral:rRNA from 1 species